GACAUGGGGAUGUAGCUCAGAUGGUAGAGC
rnacentral:sRNA from 1 species